UGGGUGUCCUCUUUUGCUGUUUCUCAUAUAAUUUGUUUUUUGUUUUGCAUAGUUUAUUCUUAUGUUGUGCGAAAGAUUUGUUGCCAACAAACUAGUUUUUGCCACAUUAUAUAUGUGCCCGUCUCAAGUUAGGAGCCUUUAAUUCAGUGGUUGUCAUUUGUUGCUGUGUUACACAUUUGUUUUCCAUUCAUUAUUUUCUAUGUAAAUU
rnacentral:lncRNA from 1 species